UACGGGGGGGGCAAGCGUUGUUCGGAAUUACUGGGCGUAAGGGGCUCGUAGGCGGCCAACUAAGUCAGACGUGAAAUCCCUCGGCUUAACCGGGGAACUGCGUCUGAUACUGGAUGGCUUGAGAUUGGGAGAGGGAUGCGGAAUUCCAGGUGUAGCGGUGAAAUGCGUAGAUAUCUGGAGGAACACCGGUGGCGAAGGCGGCAUCCUGGACCAACACUGACGCUGAGGAGCGAAAGCCAGGGGAGCAAACGGG
rnacentral:rRNA from 1 species